rnacentral:rRNA from 1 species
GACGAACGCUGGCGGCGUGCUUAACACAUGCAAGUCGAACGGAAAGGCCCUGCUCUUGUGGGAUGCUCGAGUGGCGAACGGGUGAGUAACACGUGAGUAACCUGCCCUUUACUUUGGGAUAACUUCAGGAAACUGGGGCUAAUACCGGAUAGGAGCUCCUGCUGCAUGGUGUGGGUUGGAAAGUUUCGGCGGUUGGGGAUGGACUCGCGGCUUAUCAGCUUGUUGGUGGGGUAGUGGCUUACCAAGGCUUUGACGGGUAGCCGGCCUGAGAGGGUGACCGGCCACAAUGGGACUGAGAUACGGCCCAGACUCCUACGGGAGGCAGCAGUGGGGAAUAUUGCACGAUGGGCGGAAGCCUGAUGCAGCAACGCCGCGUGCGGGAUGACGGCCUUCGGGUUGUAAACCGCUUUCGCCUGUGACGAAGCGUGAGUGACGGUAAUGGGUAAAGAAGCACCGGCUAACUACGUG